GACGUAGGGUGCGAGCGUUGUCCGGAUUUAUUGGGUGUAAAGGGUGCGUAGGCGGCUUUUUAAGUCGGUGGUGAAAGCCCAUAGCUCAACUAUGGAACUGCCAUUGAUACUGAAAGGCUUGAGUACAGACGAGGUUGGCGGAAUGGAUGGUGUAGCGGUGAAAUGCAUAGAUACCAUCCAGAACUCCGAUUGCGUAGGCAGCUAACUAGGCUGUAACUGACGCUGAGGCACGAAAGCGUGGGGAGCAAACAGG
rnacentral:rRNA from 1 species